CCACCUGCCUCCCCUGACACCACCUGCCUCCCCUGACACCACCUGCCCCUGACACCACCUGCCUCCCCUGACACCACCUGCCUCCCCUGACAACAUCUGACACCAUCUGCCUUCCCCUGACAACAUUUGACACCACCUGCCUCCCCUGACACCACCUGCCUCCCCUGAUCCCACCUGCCACCACCUGCCUCCCCUGAUCCCACCUGCCUCCCCUGACAUCUGACACCAACUGCCUCCAUUGACAUCUGACAUCACCUGCCUCCCCCUGACAUCUGACACCACCUGCCUUCUCUGACACCACCUGACUCCCCUGACACCACUUGCCUCCCCUGACACAUCCUGCCUCCCUUGACACCACCUUCCUCCCCUAACACCACCUGCCUUCCCUGACAACUUCCACCACUGUCACCACCAGGUCCUCUCUGACAACCCCCAAUGAGAAUAACUUCCACCACCUGCCUCGUGACACUAAAUCCCCAACUACUGACACCACUUGACUCCAACCCUCACCAAUGAUGCAACCUGCCUCUCCUGACACCAUUUUAUCAUCCUUCAACCAUUUCUCACUGGAAAUAAUGGAUGACACUCCAUGGCGGUGGAAGAGUUACAGUACUGGUGAAACAACUCCCGAAGAUGACUCUCCAUGGCGGUGGAAGAGUUACAGUACUGGUGAAACAACUCCCGAAGGUAAGAGA